UACAUGGGGUGCAAACGUUGCUCGGAAUUAUUGGGCGUAAAGCGCACGUAGGCGGUUCGUCACGUCUGCUGUGAAAACUCGGGGCUUAACUCCGGGCCUGCAGUGGGUACGGGCAGACUAGAGUGCGGUAGGGGAGACUGGAAUUCCUGGUGUAGCGGUGAAAUGCGCAGAUAUCAGGAGGAACACCGGUGGCGAAGGCGGCGAUCUGGGUCGAUACUGACGCUGAGGUGCGAAAGCGUGGGGGAGCAAACAGG
rnacentral:rRNA from 1 species